GAAAAUCUUGGGGGAAGGCAUCCGGCAUCGGGGGAGGUCGGCCAUCUAUGGUGAGCGGGAGGUGGAGGCGCCCAACCUUGGAUGAACUUGGCAAUUAACACCAUGCUGCAUCGCUUCAAUCUCUAGUGGAGAGAUUGUGGACUUCUGAUAGACUUCAAGUCAAGCGACAUUUGAGAAAGAAGCGGCGCACAAUUCCAACAAACAACAAUGCACUAAUGCUGGACUGGUGGACCGGCCUAACAUCAUCUCGCCGGUGAAAGAGGAAAGGCCAGGAUUUAAUGUGUUCGAAUUGUUUUUUUUUUUUGAGAGAGAGAGAUUUAGAGAACAGAGAAACAGUCAGAUUGUUCGACAUGAGGAGGGCAACAAACUCCGAAUUGUUCAACAAAUAUGGUUGAUGAAAUCUAGUUUCUGACCAUGUACAG